AGGCACAGUAUAAAAGGGGGGAGCUGCGGGGGAAGAGGCUUGUUUUUGUUCAAGGAUUUGCAGCAACGAAGAACUGAGCAGGGGGAAAGAAACUUUUUAACCAACGGAUUGGGGAAGUGAGGAGGCACCACAGAGAUGUGGGCAUGCCUCAGCCUGCUCCUCACUCUCUGCCUGCUCCAUGGGGGCGGAGCAGAGAGUGACGGGGAUGGGCCUCGCUGUCAGCCACCACCAGCCUGGAAGAUAGGGGAGGUGGACCCAAUGAAGGAGGCGCUGGGCCAGGUGACAGUGGUGGCACUUUUACAGGCCAGCUGACUGUUCUGCUUGGUGCAGGCUUCCCGAGUGGAUGGCCUGCGCCAGAGGCUGGAGAGUCAGGGUUUGAAGGAUGUGACCUACAUGGUCAUUAACCACCAGGGGGAGGAAGCACAGCGUCUGCAUGCUGUGCUAGCACAGAGACUGUCUGAGAACAUCACCCUUUACAAACAGGAAGAGCAACAACCUGAUGUCUGGCAGACACUGAGUGGGGAGAAAGAUGACUUUCUCAUUUAUGACAGAUGCGGCCGUCUCACCCACCACAUUUCCCUCCCAUACUCCAUCAUCGGACAAGGUCAUGUUGAGGGUGCGAUCAAAGAUACCUACUGCAAACGCAUAUGUGGGAACUGCACACAUGAGAGCACUGACACCCCAGAGGAGUGCAAAGGGAAAGCAGAUGCACAGCCUACCACAGAUGGGACCCCAGCUGUAGAGGAAGACACUGGACAUGGUCAUGGUCAUGGUCAUGGUCAUGGUCAUGGUCAUGGUCUUGGGCAUGGUCACCAUCAUGGACAUCACCACGGGCAUAAUCAUGGUUUUCACCCACGUGGCUUUGGCCAUGGCCGUGACCAUGGAACACAGGGGCAAGAGCAAGAUAGUGGGGUGUCUCAAGGGCAACAACAGGCAGAAUUAGGACAGAUGCAGCAAGCAGUGCAAGUGCACCUGGUGUCACAGGAGGCCAAUGGAGCCCCUGUGAGGCCUUGAGUACCACAGAAGGCUAGGUGAAAGUCAAAGUACAGCUGACAGUGGACAGCAGGCUCUGACAAUGAAGCCUCUCCUAAGGUCAGCUGAUGCUGACACUGACGCAGGCUGUUCGGCGAGGCAGGGAGCAAACAACCGGUCGGUCUCUGACACUGUGAUAAGGCUCUGCCCGCCUCCUGACAGUGACACGGACUGAUAGGUGAUGCAGCCAAUAAUGUUAGGGAGACCUGACAGUGACGCUCGCCUCCUGCUGAAUGACAGCAGCCUCAGCCAGCCCAAUGAGCCUGACCCCCAGGUGUCGUGAGCUGAGGAUGAGAGCCUCACCAGCCAGCCCAAUGACCCUGACCCCCAGGUGUCGUUAGCUGAGGAUGAGAGCCUCACCAGCCAGCCCAAUGACCCUGACCCCCAGGUGUCGUUAGCUGAGGAUGAGAGCCUCACCAGCCAGCCCAAUGACCCUGACCCCCAGGUGUCGUUAGCUGAGGAUGAGAGCCUCACCAGCCAGCCCAAUGACCCUGACCCCCAGGUGUCGUUAGCUGAGGAUGAGAGCCUCACCAGCCAGCCCAAUGACCCUGACCCCCAGGUGUCGUGAGCUGAGCAUGAGAGCGUCAACAGCCAGCCCAAUGACCCUGACCCCCAGGUGUCGUGAGCUGAGCAUGAGAGCGUCAACAGCCAGCCCAAUGACCCUGACCUCCAGGUGUUGCAAGUUGAGGGUGAGAGCAGCUGUAAGCUGGCUCUGAUAUCCUCAUAUUAACAUCAGCCAGCAACACCAGGGUCAAGCGCUCUUUUAACCAACAAGUAUUACCCUGGGAAAAGACGGGGCAAUCCCUGACAGCAUGGACGUGGGAUAGAUGAUCAAGUGGAGUCCAACAUCAGACUGAUAAAGAUUAAAUUAGGCAGAUAAAAACACCAACUAAAACAUGUAUUGUUAGCUUGUGACAUUUGGCAACAGAUAUCCACAUCAUUCUAUCAUGCCUUGAAAAACAUAUGGUGUGUUUCACCUGUCUGAGCGUGUCUGUCAGUGGGUUGCUCUCAUCCUUUCUCAGGAGUGAAUAUGGUUGUCAUGUUCAUAAAUUGCCUUCUCCAUUUUGCUCUCUCCAUCCUUUAUGAAACCAGGCGCAGAAACUAUGCUCUAGUGGCGUCUGUAUGAAGUCCGGCAGGAGAGAGAGGAGAGGAAACUUUAGGAACAUGAUAAGCACUUAAAAUAUUUCAGAAUUCAGUAUGUAAGGAUACUUAAGGAAACAGAAAAAAAUUCGAUACAGUCUGCAAAUACGGCACAAAUUAAUGAUUAAGAAAAAAGAAGAGAAGAUGCUAUUACAGUUUCUCAGAUUCUAUGAAUUAGGUUAAUAUCAGAAAUCUGUGAAGAAGGCUGUAGAAACCUGAAAGCACUGGCCCGUUACUGAGUAAGUCCAAAAGACAUGUAAAAACAAAUCUAUAAAAGCUUAUACCAGCGAUGUGUUUGUCUGUAGGGCAUGCUAUUGAUCAUUAUCCUUGAGCACAAGCUUAAGCGCAUCUCAGGUAUAUCUUUUUUUACACCUCCAACGUGCACAUUUGAAAUUAGUAUUUGGCAUUCCUUUUUUUGUAUGUUCGUUUGUGCAUUCAUUAUAUUUGCCAUGUAGGCAGCAUAUUGCAAAUUUAUACAAGGCUUGUAAAAAAUAAAAAAUAAAACAAGGCUUUGGGAAAAUGCAGAGAGAAAAGGAGAGUUAAGCAAUGAAUAACUGUUGGAAUACACUCUGUACUUAAUGAUGGUUUCUGUGGGAAGACAGCAGUCACCCUGACAACUUGAUGCUUGCACAGAGAACUGUAUUAGUUUAGUUGUAUUAGUCACAGAUGGAAAAUGAGAGAUGAAUAAAGAUGGUUGAGUUACUU